rnacentral:lncRNA from 1 species
UUCCAGGUAGGCUCAACUAUCCAGGCAGGACAAUGAAGUUACUGCUCUCAAGGCCUGCCUAUUUUAGGCCUUUAUGCCUAGGUCUCUGUGACAUGUACUAAGAGUAAAUGUUGCACAAGCAUUUCUGCCAAACUCGCUGACAACACGGCAGCAGCUGGAAGGGGCAGUGGUGAUUUCAACUGUGCUUUCCAGUUAGGAGCUGGGACAUCGUCCAUAAACCUUCAAGGAGAAGAAACGUAGCAAUGAAUAGGUUUAGGUUCUGGCCUUCUUUUGUUCUUGAUUUGAACAGCUCCUGUCCUAAUUAUAAUCAUUUGCCAUGUGAUUUUAAAGCGAUUAUGAAUUGACUGUAAUGCAUGCAGAUUACUGAUCUCUCAUGCACAAAAUUAAUUUACUCUGCCAGCAAUUUCAGACACUGAACUUCAGUUGGUGACUCACAGCUUUGCGUAAAUGAUUCUACAGAAAGCCAGUGAAAUAGUAAACAUUCAAUACACAUUUUUCUUUAACAGAAUCUUCAUUAUUACUCCUUAUAAGGAAAUGUUGCCAGUGAAAAAGAAAACACUCCCAUGCAAACACGGGCAAUUUAACUGGAUACCUUUUAUGAGAUUUUGCAGCAGUGCACUCAGGGAGAGGAAAUAUAAGAGCCACUUAGGAAGGAACAACAGCACUACAGAGUGA